GCCGCCUGUGGUAUGCCACCUGUGUCCGACAUCAGACCACUGACGGUUACAAAACACACAAGGCAUCGGUGGAUUUUGGUUGGCAAUCCGACAUAGUGCACGAGUACUCUGCAGGGUCCAAACAGCGGCAUGCUACCUGACAAUCCAUCUGCGUGAGAGCCAGGUUACAUGCUACCAAUGGAGGAGGACCGCCUACUCAUUUGGUGCCAGCAUCGUUUGCAUCAGAUAAAUCACAACAAAGAUAUGGUGACCCAAGACCCACGGUUAUAUAAGGAGGUGUAUGAAGAAACGACCGCAUAGAGGACCCAGCACAUCCCCUCACAGA